rnacentral:rRNA from 1 species
GACGUAGGGCGCGAGCGUUGUCCGGAUUUAUUGGGCGUAAAGAGCUCGUAGGCGGCUUGUUACGUCGACUGUGAAAUCCCGCGGCUCAACUGCGGGCUUGCAGCCGAGACGGGCAGGCUAGAGUUCGGUAGGGGAGACUGGAAUUCCUGGUGUAGCGGUGAAAUGCGCAGAUAUCAGGAGGAACACCGGUGGCGAAGGCGGGUCUCUGGGCCGAUACUGACGCUGAGGAGCGAAAGCGUGGGGAGCGAACAGG